rnacentral:rRNA from 1 species
AGUGAACGCUGGCGGUAGGCCUAACACAUGCAAGUCGAACGGCAGCACAGUAAGAGCUUGCUCUUACGGGUGGCGAGUGGCGGACGGGUGAGGAAUACAUCGGAAUCUACUUUUUCGUGGGGGAUAACGUAGGGAAACUUACGCUAAUACCGCAUACGAUCUACGGGUGAAAGCAGUGGAUCUUCGGACCUUGCGCGAUUGAAUGAGCCGAUGUCGGAUUAGCUAGUUGGCGGGGUAAAGGCCCACCAAGGCGACGAUCCGUAGCUGGUCUGAGAGGAUGAUCAGCCACACUGGAACUGAGACACGGUCCAGACUCCUACGGGAGGCAGCAGUGGGGAAUAUUGGACAAUGGGCGCAAGCCUGAUCCAGCCAUACCGCGUGGGUGAAGAAGGCCUUCGGGUUGUAAAGCCCUUUUGUUGGGAAAGAAAAGCAGCAGGUUAAUACCCCGCUGUUCUGACGGUACCCAAAGAAUAAGCACCGGCUAACUUCGUG